UGGUAGCACUGACUGUGUGGGCCA
rnacentral:misc_RNA from 1 species